rnacentral:rRNA from 1 species
GGAGUUAGCCGGUGCUUCUUCUGUGAGUGAUGUCCUUCCUGCCGGCUAUUAACCCGCAGGCCUUCUUCCUCACUGAAAGUGCUUUACAACCCGAAGGCCUUCUUCACACACGCGGCAUGGCUGGAUCAGGGUUGCCCCCAUUGUCCAAUAUUCCCCACUGCUGCCUCCCGUAGGAGUCUGGGCCGUGUCUCAGUCCCAGUGUGGCUGAUCAUCCUCUCAGACCAGCUACGGAUCGUCGCCUUGGUGAGCCGUUACCUCACCAACCAGCUAAUCCGACAUAGGCUCAUCCGAUAGCGCGAGGCCCGAAGGUCCCCCGCUUUCCCCCGUAGGGCGUAUGCGGUAUUAGCCUGGGUUUCCCCAGGUUAUCCCCCACUACCGGGCAGAUUCCUAUGCAUUACUCACCCGUCCGCCGCUCGCCACCAGGGAGCAAGCUCCCCGUGCUGCCGCUCGACUUGCAUGUGUUAGGCCUGCCGCCAGCGUUCAAUCUGAGCCAGAUCAAACUCUGA